rnacentral:rRNA from 1 species
AGAGUUUGAUCCUGGCUCAGGACGAACGCUGGCGGCGUGCUUAACACAUGCAAGUCGAACGAUGAACCACUUCGGUGGGGAUUAGUGGCGAACGGGUGAGUAACACGUGGGCAAUCUGCCCUGCACUCUGGGACAAGCCCUGGAAACGGGGUCUAAUACCGGAUACUGACCAUCGAGGGCAUCUUUGAUGGUCGAAAGCUCCGGCGGUGCAGGAUGAGCCCGCGGCCUAUCAGCUUGUUGGUGAGGUAAUGGCUCACCAAGGCGACGACGGGUAGCCGGCCUGAGAGGGCGACCGGCCACACUGGGACUGAGACACGGCCCAGACUCCUGCGGGAGGCAGCAGUGGGGAAUCUUGCACAAUGGGCGAAAGCCUGAUGCAGCGACGCCGCGUGCGGGAUGACGGCCUUCGGGUUGUAAACCGCUUUCAGCAGGGACGAAGCGGAAGUGACGGUACCUGCAGAAGAAGCCCCGGCCAACUACGUGCCAGCAGCCGCGGUAAUACGUAGGGGGCGAGCGUUGUCCGGAUUUAUUGGGCGUAAAGCGCGCGUAGGCGGCUGCUCGAGUCGGUAGUGAAAACUCAACGCUUAACGUUGGGCUUGCUGUCGAUACUGGGUGGCUGGAGUCUGGUAGGGGGGUCUGGAAUUCCUGGUGUAGCGGUGGAAUGCGCAGAUAUCAGGAGGAACACCGGUGGCGAAGGCGGGGCCCUGGGCCAGUACUGACGCUGAUGCGCGAAAGCGUGGGGAGCAAACAGGAUUAGAUACCCCAGUAGUCC